AAGAAGUGCGCGCGGUGUUCUUAAUUUUCCAAAGUAAUUUUUGUUAAGUGUUAAAAGUGAUGCAGGUUAAUUGAUUUAAUGCUUUUUUAUAGUUACAGUUAGUAAAAGUCCAAACACAAAAGGACUGAUUAAUGGACUAGAGUAAUAGAGUUUAAAAGUGGUACGCAAAGUAAAAUAACGGUGAGAAGACGGUUCACAGACAAAUUAAAAUACCGGAAAAAAAAGGUCCCCAGAGGACCUUUUAUUCUUGGAUCCAGAUUGUCAUCUGGAACCUAUUCCUUCGCAGAACGGGACCAAGAACAGGAACGGAAACUACCGCCAACAUACGGCUCUCUGUCCGUCGCCACGUGCCGAGACCCCCCGGAAACAAUCCCGGCAGCCACCACGCCAUUCUUCUGCCUGCCGGCAACCCUGAAAACCGGCAACCACAAGCCGCAGGUCGAAUCGACUCCCGAGAGCAGAAAAUACCACUGUCCGGGCGAAGGACGCACGCCAUACACGCUCCGACGGCUAACCGUUGGACCAGAGUCCCAGUUAUAACCGACGCACCGCCACUGCCGCCAUACACAGCCAUUGUCACCGUAAACCACCAACAUGUCACCCAGUCGACGAUCCGGCCAUCUUCCGUCUACACCCGUAAAACCAAACCGCAAGUAGCAAGUGACGUCACUUAGAAUUAGGUUAUUUAUAAGUAAUAAAUAGAGUUAAGAUGUUUAAUGAUGAAGAUUAGUGAUAUUGUAACUUAACUGAGCCUUGGUUUAGUGAACUUGCAUCACGUUUCGAUUUUGCUCGAAUUUCGGACUCAAAAGGAGUCGCCAGCCCUCGUCGUUGGUUGUCGUCCAGUAAGUCUUAUCAGGUCGUAGCUUUUGAGCAUCCCCUACGUAAGUACACCCGUUUGCUGGUCCUCGUCUGGUUGCAUUGUCUGUGAUAUUACCGAAGGCAAAUGGGUCACCCUCUAAAUGAGUGCAUAUGAUGGUGGGUGACAUUUAUAUUCACCACCGACAAGCAUAAUUUCUCCUACCCUGAGCAGCUCGAGGUAACAUAUUGGCGCCCAACUUCAAAAACCCCACUUUUCAAAUAAAAUUUGUCUAUCCCACGCGGGGAGGUAAAAAUCAGUACGCUGAUUUAGAUUUCGCUUCAUCCUCCAAACGAAGCAGAUUUUGGUGUAGUAGAACUGUUCAACUUUCAUUUACAAAAUGGAUGUAGAAUUCGACAUGCAAUAUAAAAGUCUUUUAGUCCACCACUUAGUCAGGGAAGAAAUCGAACAUGAACUAGCAAUUCGGGGAAUCGAGUUUACUGAAACGGAAACACGCGCUGCUCUCGCCAGACGUUUAAGAGAGCAAAUCAAAGUAGAAAAAGAACAGGGUCAUGCGGAUUUAGAUUUCAAUAGAUUAGAUACCAGUGUCGA